rnacentral:lncRNA from 1 species
UUCUCAUCAGUGGUUUGGGAGGCAUAAUUCCUGGAUGAAUAGGAGGCAUAUCCAUUGCAGGCCUUCCCGACAUCAUUCGUGGGUCCAUGUAAGACUGCAUCAUAAGCCACCGUGGAUCAAAACCCAUUGAAGCCAGAUGCUGUGGAUGUGGUUGCAUUGGUUGGUAAAGAGGUCUAUGCUGGGGAGGAGGGACAGGGCCACUAGAAGGCUGUGAGGGAGCAGACUGUGGAAUUACACCUUGCUGCUGUUGUUGCCACUGCUGCUGUUUCAUCUGCUCCUGCUGCCUCUGAAAUCUCGGUGGUAAUGAUUUCUGGAACUGCUUAGAAUAGCCUGAGGAAACAGCAGGACGAGGUUGAGAUCCUGAUUCUGGCUCGCUCUCAUGAGUCACCUGUGAAAUCUCUUUCUCAUUUCGACCACUGUCUUGUCGGGUAAAGACUGCUUGAUCUUCUUUUUCUUCCUUGUUAUUCCUGCUUUCACUUUCUUGUUUUUCUACUGCAGGCGUUACCACAGGUUCUACAGGCUCAGGAGCUUCAUGCACUGGUUUCUCCUCUUCUUUCUCCUUCUCCCUCUCUUUUUCUUCCUUCUCUCUCUCGUUUUCUUUCUCUUUUUCCCUUUCUUGCUCUUUUGCUUUCUCCAGUUUUUCUUUUUCUUCUUUUUCCCUUUCCCGCUCCCUCUCUUUUUCUUUUUCCCUUUCCCUUUCCCUCUCCCUCUCCUUUUCUCUUUCCCGCUCUCUCUCCCGUUCCCUCUCCCUCUCCCUUUCCCUUUCUCUCUCCCUUUCUCUUUCCCUCUCCCUCUCUCUCUCUUUCAGAGGGUCUUCCCGGGAGGGUUUUGUCAUACAGCCAAAUUUCUCAUUUAACCGUUUCAGCUUUUCUGCACAAGCUGCUUUUCUUUGUUCUUCCAUUCUUCUUUCUUCCUCUUCUCGGCGCUUACGGGCUCGCUCAACUGCAGCAGAUAUCUCUGACUGCUGUCUUCUCCUCUGUUUCCAGAUUUCAUCUUCAUCUGGUACUGGUUUAGGAGGAAAGGGUCCCUGCCUUCCAGGUCCUAGUUGACGAUCAGGAGGAGGAGGAUGCGGUGGUAGAAUAGAUUUGGGAUGAAGAGGAGGACCACCUCUUUCAUGUAUAGAGGGCUGUGCUGGACCCCGAUCCUGAUCAAGCUGAGAACUUUUGCCAUAAGAUCCUUUGGUUGCUGCUGCAGAAGCCUGGGUGGCAGACUUAGCAUUUGUCUGUUCUUCUGCUUCUUUCUGGCCAUCAGGGCUCUGAGAAUCUUUUGAUGGUGUUUGUUCAUCACCACUUUCCUUCUCCUUUUGACUACUUCCUUGCUCAUCGUCAUCACUGAAAUUCAACUGUUCAGUGUAAUCCACUUCACUCUGAGCACCUGCCCAGCCUUCAUCAGCCUCAGCAUCUAGGUUAUCAAAUUUAUCAAGUUCUUUAAGUUCACUAGCACUAAGAAUGGAUGGGCGCUCAAUAGGUUCUGAACACCACGAAGGCGGUCCUCUUCCCCUUGGCCCUCUACUAGGCUCAGAGUUCGGAAACCUUGUUGGGCCUUGCAUGGAAGGAGGAUAUGCCAUUCUAGGAUACUGAUUAAACAUGUAAGGCGGCAUCAUUGCCCUGUACUGAGACGAGAUGGGUGGCUGCUGCUGGCCAUUCAUCUUGGGCUGUGGGAUCUGUGGUAACCGCACAUCCCUCUUCUCUGCUGCCUUCUGGCCAUCACUUUGUUCUGCUGGAGUAGCAUUGCCAUCUUCCUGCCCAAGAGCCUUAGCAUCUUGAUUUUGUGGUCUCAAGCUGGGUCCAUGGGCCUCUUCAGAUGCAUCUUUAUCUUUGCCUGACUUUUCUUGAUCCCCAGCUGCCGGCAGACUGGGAAACUCUUGCUGGAAAUAACUAUUUACUGGAAGAGCUGGACCAUCUUGUCCACCUGGCUUGGUGUUGGCCCAUGAUUUGGCAACAGGAGCUGCUUCUGGAGGAGCAGGAACAGCAGGUUUUGGCUGUGUCUGAGGCACCUCUGGCUGUUUCUCUUCUUCGUGCUGUUCUUGUUUUGAAGCCCAUCCUGUGCCAUCCUUAGGCACAAUGUUCACAUUGGGAUCAUUGCCUUUGUUCUCUGCUUUGAGACUAGGGAGGUUAGCUGGGGGAGGCAUCCUCCUCGAAAUAGCAACUUUUCCAAGACUUUGUAAUCCAUGGCGUGUGGCAACUGUGGUUUUCUGAGUUUCCAGUGACUUUCCUUUGUAAGUAUUAAAGAGACUGAGCGUUGCGUACUUCGUUUUUCCAUCCUUUGCUUUUGUACUCUGGCCUGACUUUUCCGACAUUUCGAUGGAAACUCAUCGAGUCUGGUACCGCCCGCUCACUCCUCAAAAUCAGCCUGGCGCGCAGCGCUGCGGGCCGGCGCUCCGGCCUCCCCCCGCUCCCCGGGGCUCCCGGACUCGGCGAGGCCGCUGCCGCUCCCGGCGCCGCGACGCCGCGCCUCAGCCGCUUCCACACAGGGGCCAAGAUGGCGGGCGGCCAAGCCGGCGCCAACGACGUCUGACCUCACCGCGCCGCGCGCGCACCACCCCUCGCGCCGCCGCCCACGUGACCCCACGCCGUGCCGCAGUCCGGGAGGCGCGCGGAGCCCACCAGCGCCCCCUCGCGGUCGGAAGUGGCGACGCCCCAGCGGGAAGCGUGGUGUGCGCGGCCUCCGCUCUUCCGUGUGUCUCCGUGUGAGGGGUGGGCUGGCGCCGUGCUGUGCUGCAAAGCCGUGAGCCCACCUCACCCCUCCCGACCCCCAUCGCCGAUUAGUCAACACAUUAGUAAAAAACAUGGAACCCCGCCAUGCAUAGCACCGUUAGAGGCUCACUGAGGUUUAUUUCCGGCUAGCCCCUCCCAGAAGCUUCCACACGAACACAACUACUUCCGCACCUGCUGUUCCCAAAAGCGCCGUGCUGAGGAGGCCGGUGCCGUCCCCUUCAGCCUCAUCCCAAACCUCCCCGCAGUCCCAUCCCGCUGCAUUACAACCACAGACAGAGGGGUGAGAUCCCACACACCCUGGACCCACCAACACCUCCCUGUAGGCGCAGCAUGCCACCAUCCUCAUCGGAUCUCUUCUAG